AUUGAACGCUGGCGGCAGGCCUAACACAUGCAAGUCGAGCGAGCGGCGGACGGGUGAGUAAUGUAUGGGGACUGCCCGAUAGAGGGGGAUAACUACUGGAAACGGUGGCUAAUACCGCAUACUAUCGGAUAACCCAUAUGGGAUUAGCUAGUAGGUGGGGUAAAGGCUCACCUAGGCGACGAUCUCUAGCUGGUCUGAGAGGAUGAUCGGCCACACUGGGACUGAGACACGGCCCAGACUCCUACGGAGGCAGCAGUGGGGAAUAUUGCGCAAUGGACGCAAGUCUGAUGGAGCCACGCCGCGUGAAUGAAGAAGGCCUUAGGGUUGUAAAGCUCUUUUAGCAGAGAGGCGGUACCCAAAGAGGAAGCACCGGCUAACUCCGUGCCAGCAGCCGCGGUAAUAC
rnacentral:rRNA from 1 species